rnacentral:rRNA from 1 species
UACGUAGGUGGCAAGCGUUGUCCGGAAUUAUUGGGCGUAAAGCGCGCGCAGGUGGUUUCUUAAGUCUGAUGUGAAAGCCCACGGCUCAACCGUGGAGGGUCAUUGGAAACUGGGGAACUUGAGUGCAGGAGAGGAUAGUGGAAUUCCCAGUGUAGCGGUGAAAUGCGUAGAUAUUGGGAGGAACACCGGUGGCGAAGGCGGCUAUCUGGACCGGUACUGACGCUGAGACGCGAAAGCCAGGGGAGCAAACGGG